rnacentral:rRNA from 1 species
UACGAAGGGGGCUAGCGUUGUUCGGAUUCAUUGGGCGUAAAGGGUGCGUAGGCGGUGAGGUAAGUCGGAUGUGAAAUCCCGGGGCUCAACCCCGGAACUGCAUUCGAUACUGCCUUGCUUGAGCACUGGAGAGGAGACUGGAAUUUACGGUGUAGCAGUGAAAUGCGUAGAUAUCGUAAGGAAGACCAGUGGCGAAGGCGAGUCUCUGGACAGUUGCUGACGCUGAGGCACGAAGGCCAGGGGAGCAAACGGG